ACUCCUACGGGUGGCGGCAGUGGGGAAUAUUGGACAAUGGGCGAAAGCCUGAUCCAGCCAUGCCGCGUGUGUGAAGAAGGCCUUUUGGUUGUAAAGCACUUUAAGUGGGGAGGAAAAGCUUAUGGUUAAUACCCAUAAGCCCUGACGUUACCCACAGAAUAAGCACCGGCUAACUCUGUGCCAGCAGCCGCGGUAAUACAGAGGGUGCAAGCGUUAAUCGGAAUUACUGGGCGUAAAGCGCGCGUAGGUGGUUAUUUAAGUCAGAUGUGAAAGCCCCGGGCUUAACCUGGGAACUGCAUCUGAUACUGGAUAACUAGAGUAGGUGAGAGGGGAGUAGAAUUCCAGGUGUAGCGGUGAAAUGCGUAGAGAUCUGGAGGAAUACCCGAUGGCGAAGGCAGCUCCCUGGCAUCAUACUGACACUGAGGUGCGAAAGCGUGGGUAGCAAACAGGAUUAGAUACCCUGGUAGUCCACGCCGUAAACGAUGUCUACCAGUCGUUGGGUCUUUUAAAGACUUAGUGACGCAGUUAACGCAAUAAGUAGACCGCCUGGGGAGUACGGCCGCAAGGUUAAAACUCAAAUGAAUUGACGGGGGCCCGCACAAGCGGUGGAGCAUGUGGUUUAAUUCGAUGCAACGCGAAGAACCUUACCUGGUCUUGACAUAGUGAGAAUCUUGCAGAGAUGCGAGAGUGCCUUUGGGAAUUCACAUACAGGUGAUGCAUGGCUGUCGUCAGCUC
rnacentral:rRNA from 1 species